GACGUAGGAGGCGAGCGUUGUCCGGAUUCAUUGGGCGUAAAGAGCGCGCAGGCGGCUUGGUAAGUCGGAUGUGAAAUCCCGAGGCUCAACCUCGGGUCUGCAUCCGAUACUGCCCGGCUAGAGGUAGGUAGGGGAGAUCGGAAUUCCUGGUGUAGCGGUGAAAUGCGUAGAGAUCGGGAAGAACAUCGGUGGCGAAAGCGCUCUACUGGACCGCAACUGACACUCAGGGACGAAAGCUAGGGGAGCGAAUGGG
rnacentral:rRNA from 1 species